CCUACGGGAGGCAGCAGUGGGGAAUAUUGCACAAUGGGGGAAACCCUGAUGCAGCGACGCCGCGUGAGUGAAGAAGUAUUUCGGUAUGUAAAGCUCUAUCAGCAGGGAAGAAGAUGACGGUACCUGCAGAAGAAGCCCCGGCUAACUACGUGCCAGCAGCCGCGGUAAU
rnacentral:rRNA from 1 species